rnacentral:rRNA from 1 species
AUACGUAGGGGGCGAGCGUUGUCCGGAAUGAUUGGGCGUAAAGGGCGCGUAGGCGGCGCGGUAAGUCUGGAGUGAAAGUCCUGUUUUUAAGAUGGGAAUUGCUUUGGAUACUGUCGGGCUUGAGUGCAGGAGAGGUAAGUGGAAUUCCCAGUGUAGCGGUGAAAUGCGUAGAGAUUGGGAGGAACACCAGUGGCGAAGGCGACUUACUGGACUGUAACUGACGCUGAGGCGCGAAAGUGUGGGGAGUAAACAGGAUUAGAUACCCUGGUAGUCCACACUGUAAACGAUGAAUGCUAGGUGUAGGGGGUAUCGACCCCUUCUGUGCCGCAGUCAACACAAUAAGCAUUCCGCCUGGGGAGUACGGCCGCAAGGUUGAAACUCAAAGGAAUUGGCGGGG